ACCUGCACGAGUCGUGUGCCGACGCGCACCGUCUCGAUUGCCUCCAAUGCCGAGGUUGACGGUUAUGAGGAGCGCCCAUUCCUCGUAGUUGGUCCUCGUCAGAACCGGGUAGUAGACGGAGGCGCUCGACUCCCUGACAACGCGUGGCUGGACGCCUUGAGGCUAUCGCUCGCCACGCCCGCGCCCAUGGCGCGGCGGGGAUUCUGCAGGUCGGCGCGUGGUGGCGUGCACGACGGCCGGUGCGGCGGUGUACGCGACAGCCGCAGCGGUGGCGAGCGCUGCGACAUGGCACCAGCGAGCCAACGAGGCUCGUAUACCAAUUGUUGGCGAACAACCUAGCUACCGCAAGGUGUUCGACGAAAUUCCAAUCAAGAACAGAGUUUGCGAGAGGGUGUUUUUGCUGCUAACAACUUGGCAGCUUUUAUGAUUGUACUAGGAACUUAAAUAUUAAAGCAAAUACAACGACUAGAAACGUAGGAAUCGGUGCGGAUGCGGGUGCGGCACCAGGAGCACCCUGAUGACAAGUGUCGGAAUUGCAAUAAGAUAGGCCACUGGGCUAAAGAUUGUCGCUCAAAGGCCAAGAAUGCCGAAGGCCACAUCGCAGCGGAGGACGACGACGAGCCCACGCUGCUGAUGGCCCGGACGUGCUUUGGUUGAACGGUGAUGCCCGCGCGGGUGUUGACUGACAGUUUUUUUUUUUGGGUUCAGAUUUGGAUAGAACAUGAGGAUCCAAGGACAUAGCAGGGUGCCUUCAGCAAGCUGACCGUGCUUAAUUUUGGUGGAAUCUUAGCCGGGCGUGAGCUCUCUUGGACGAUCUUCCUCCUCCCGGAAUUCGACCUUUCGGUCCUCAUGGUUCUUCCUGUUUGUCUUGCAAUGGCAUAGUUAUUGGCAACAAAAUAGAGUGACAAUCGCCUGCUCAUGAUGAAUAUUUUUCAGUUCAAA